GCCGAGUGUACCCCACAUACCCUAAAUAAAUAAACAAACAAAUAAAUGAAUGAAUAAAGUAAAAAGUCAAUUACAUCUGAUUUCUCUGGUGACUCUGAAGUUGAUGAAUAAAGACAGUAAUUUUUUAAAAAAAAAACUUCAAGAACACUCAUUUAUAUAUUUUUAAAUUUAUUUGGAUAACUUAAAAAGAACACUAAGAAAAAGAUUUUUUUUGAAAAAAAAAAAAAGCAAAAAUGCCUAUAACCCAAGACUGUACAACUCUGUUACAUAUUGAUACAGUAGCUUCAAGCUUUUUUUUUUUUUUGCAUUUUUUCCAUGUAAUUGAUACAAAUGUUUAUGCUGCUAAACAUGGCUACAUCAGUGUUUCCGGUUUAUAAACUCUGUAGAUUGAAGUUGUAGCGGCUGCAGGUGACUAAACUGCAGGAAGGAGCAAUUCCUUUGGUCAUUACUGUCAGACAUUGACCUUAUCCGACAUUACGAAGGACAGCACUGUAAACACCAUGUUAGCAUUCACGGCUCUCUACAUCACUAGCUAUUUCUUUGGGUGAGGUGCUUGGAACGCGUGGGCCAAAGGGAAUGAGCAAAUGCAAAGUUGCUGACACACACUGUCUGCUCAAGGCUUCACAUAACCGGCUGUUUCUGUGCCUUCCAGCCCCACACAGGGCUUCUUUCAACACACCCCGAGCCAGUGCAAGGCUCCUCUUUUUCUCUCAGUUAAUUUCAGUUGAAACAAGCAUCCCAUUGUUCACAUGAGCAUCUCCUUUGGAGUAUGUAUGCGUCUGAACAUUUUUUCACGUGUCUGUCUGGCAGCUGCCUUUCUCCAUGUGUGCGCUGUCCCCACAGGAAGGCCAUAGCUUUUCUCAAACCUGGUUAUGGGUAUACAGCUGAAUUCGAGAGCUCACAGAUCUCACCGGGCCCUUGGAAAUGCUUUCUCUGUUCUUCGGCAGCUCAAAGGUUCCUAGUCCUUAUCAGAUUCUCCCAGGGUUACUCUUGCCCAGUGUUUUCUCAGAACAGGCUUUCUUUACCUGUCCCUACCUGCUCUGAGGGUUUCAAACUGUUUCCUCAGGUCAGCUCAGUUGCUGGGGCUGGACCAACCACCCUUCCUCCAGACCUCUCCAUCCUGCUGCCUUCCCACUACUUCUCCCUCCUCCUACUCCUCCCCCUCCUCCAACCUCUCUCCUUCCCCCGCCCUCACCCCUCCCCCACCCCUCCCUUCCCCUUCUCCACCGGUCUCCCUCCCCUACCCUGAUAAUUUCCUUGCAAUGCUUCCCUGCUAUCUUCAGUAGGUCGGUUUCUUGAGGGAGAAGACUGAAUCAGCCAGCUGCACCAGUUGGAUAAAGGAACCCUGGGUGGUUACUUCUGAGGUAAUGGAAGAGGAUCACCAAAAAGAAAGCAGAAGAAAGACAAAAAGGGAGCAAAAGAAAGUCAGAGUGAUGUUAAACAAAUAACCUCAUGAUGUACUUCAAAAUCUCAGACAAACGAGUACAAACCAGCCGCAAAACAGAGAAAAAAGAAAGUAAAACAGAAAAUUAAAACAACCAUAGCAGUUAUUAAUGAAAUGGAGAUUUAAGUAUCAAUCAAUCAAUCAAAGAGUUGGUUCUUCGAAAAGAAGUAAUCAAAACUGCAAGGCCCCUAUCCUGAUUAACCAAAAGAAUAAACAGGAAGUUCUAAUUAACAAUGGAC
ensembl:lncRNA